rnacentral:rRNA from 1 species
GACGAACGCUGGCGGCGUGCUUAACACAUGCAAGUCGAACGGAAAGGCCCUGCUUUUGUGGGGUGCUCGAGUGGCGAACGGGUGAGUAACACGUGAGUAACCUGCCCUUGACUUUGGGAUAACUUCAGGAAACUGGGGCUAAUACCGGAUAGGAGCUCCUGCUGCAUGGUGGGGGUUGGAAAGUUUCGGCGGUUGGGGAUGGACUCGCGGCUUAUCAGCUUGUUGGUGGGGUAGUGGCUUACCAAGGCUUUGACGGGUAGCCGGCCUGAGAGGGUGACCGGCCACAUUGGGACUGAGAUACGGCCCAGACUGCUACGGGAGGCAGCAGUGGGGAAUAUUGCAGAAUGGGCGGAAGCCUGAUGCAGCAACGCCGCGUGCGGGAUGACGGCCUUCGGGUUGUAAACCGCUUUCGCCUGUGACGAAGCGUGAGUGACGGUAAUGGGUAAAGAAGCACCGGCUAACUACGUG